UAAAUGUUAUUCUAUCUGUUCUUAAUGUGUUUUAGAUAAUUUUAGUUGUAUUUCUUUGUAAUUUUGUGUUGUACAAAGAUUAAUUUAACAUUUUCUCUGGAAGUAUUAAUUUAGAAAGAUAAUAUGCUUCAUUGGUGUUGUGUUUUGAAGUGUGAAAUGCAAAGUAAUCCUGAUAAAGUCAAGAUAAAGUUCACUUUUAAACUGAACUAAAUAAGGUAUCAUCUGAGAGACAACAAUGGUUAAAUGCAAUACAAUGUAAGGUUUUACUAGCGAAAUGAAAAUUCUCCUGUCCUGUCUGCUGUAAUCAUUUUAUAUCUGAAAAACCAGCCGACUUAAUCGAUAAUAACAAUUCAGAUUGGGUUCCUUCAAUAAAUAUGGGCUAUAAACACAAUGAAAUAAGUUCCCCAAAAUCUAAAAUGGAGUGGUAUCAAAGGAGAAUUAAAAGAAAAAAUAUUCAUAUUGAAAUUAUUUAUAAGGCACUGGACUGUCUUAAAUUCUACAAAUACUAGAAUCAGCUGAGAGGAGUGGUGUACAAAAAAACCAGAAAGGGAAUGGAAUAUGUGGCUACGAAAGGCAAAAGAAAUGAUUACAAAGCAAAUGUGACACAUUUUUUAAAAAAUAUGUAGGAAUAUCAGUAAACUACAUUAAAAGUGUAUGAAAAGAUUUUGUGCAAUAAAAAUGUUUAUAUUUAUCAAGGAUGUAUUAUUUGGUAUGGCCACAUAUCGUCAGUGAUGUGACAAUACAUCCUCUCUGUUUUUUAUGUGUUUUGUAAGAGAGACUAAAAACUUGU